UAAGGAAUAUUGGUCAAUGGACGCAAGUCUGAACCAGCCAUGCCGCGUGAAGGAUGAAGGUCCUCUGGAUUGUAAACUUCUUUUAUCUGGGACGAAAACGGGAUUUUUAUCUCAAUUGACGGUACCAGAGGAAUAAGCACCGGCUAACUCCGUGCCAGCAGCCGCGGUAAUACGGAGGGUGCGAGCGUUAUCCGGAUUUACUGGGUUUAAAGGGUGCGUAGGUGGGCUUAUAAGUCAGUGGUGAAAUCUCCGAGCUUAACUUGGAAACUGCCGUUGAUACUAUAGGUCUUGAAUUAUCUGGGGGUAAGCGGAAUAUGUCAUGUAGCGGUGAGAUGCUUAGAUAUGACAUAGAACACCAAUUGCGAAGGCAGCUUACUACAUAUAAAUUGACGCUGAGGCACGAAAGCGUGGGGAUCAAACA
rnacentral:rRNA from 1 species